AUGAUAUUCUUCAUUCUAGUGUCGUGUUGGAUUGGCAUUGCUGCUGGUGUUCAAGAUGACGACGAUGAUGAGAUUGAGUCGCUGAAGGUUUCUGAAGGAGAAAACCUCACCAUCUCUAUUCAGAUCAAGAAAUCAGACGAAGACCCUCAGGUUUUGGUGACCCGUCUCAAAGGAGGCUCCUCGCAGGAACGGAUAGCGCAGAUGAUCUGUCAUAACGGAGUCUGUGAGCACGAGAGCUGGAGAUCCAGGGUUUCUCUCAUAUCUGAUGGACAGAAUGUAUCUCUGAUCCUGAUGAACCUCAGCUACAAUCAAACAGGACUUUACAAGAUCUGCAAACUGAGCAGUAGGCAUCCGGAAAACAAGAUUUACAACGUUACCGUUUAUUAUGAGCCUCCACUCAGUACCAUCAUCCCAGAAAAAAUAGCUUCUGCCACGAGCAGUGAAUUUACUGCAGGAAUAAGUGCAGCUGUAGUGGGCCUCGCUUUAGGGGUCAUCAUUGGCACUGUCAUUUACAGGAAACACAAAAAGGCAAAUUCUGAGAGAGAAGAGAUAGACACUGAAGCUUACUUAUAAUUACUGUAUUAUUGCAAGCUCAUCCAGUGCAGGACUAAGCUGACUGGAAUAACAAGACGG
ensembl:lncRNA